rnacentral:rRNA from 1 species
CUCCUACGGGAGGCAGCAGUGAGGAAUAUUGCGCAAUGGACGAAAGUCUGACGCAGCAAUGCCGCGUGAAUGAAGAAGGCCUAUGGGUUGUAAAAUUCUGUCAGAAGGGAAGAACAUCUUGGUUUGCAGCUAAGAUUGACGGUACCUUCAGAGGAAGCUCCGGCUAACUCCGUGCCAGCAGCCGCGGUAAUACGGGGGGAGCAAGCGUUGUCCGGAAUUAUUGGGCGUAAAGGGUGCGUAGGCGGACUGACAAGUCUGGUGUGAAAGUUUGCGGCUUAACCGUAAAAAGCCAUUGGAAACUGUCAGUCUUGAAUAACAGAGGGGGUAGUGGAAUUCCAGGUGUAGCGGUGAAAUGCGUAGAGAUCUGGAGGAACACCGGUGGCGAAGGCGACUGCCUGGCUGUGAAUUGACGCUGAGGCACGAAAGCGUGGGUAGCAAACAGGAUUAGAUACCCUGGUAGUCCACGCCGUAAACGAUGGAUACUAGCUGUCGGGAUUCGUCUCGGUGGCGCAGCAAACGCAUUAAGUAUCCCGCCUGGGGAGUACGAUCGCAAGGUUGAAACUCAAAGGAAUUGACGGGGGCCCGCACAAGCGGUGGAGCAUGUGGUUUAAUUCGAUGCAACGCGAAGAACCUUACCUGGGCUUGAACUGUUAAUGAUCGUGCCAGAGAUGGCAUUUUCCUUCGGGACAUUAUCAGAGGUGCUGCAUGGCUGUCGUCAGCUCGUGUCGUGAGAUGUUCGGUUAAGUCCGGCAACGAGCGCAACCCUUAUCUUUAGUUGCCAGCACGUCAUGGUGGGAACUCUAAAGAGACUGCCCGGGUUAACCGGGAGGAAGGUGGGGAUGACGUCAAGUCCUCAUGGCCCUUACGUCCAGGGCUACACACGUGCUACAAUGGUAGGUACAGCGAGAAGCGAAGCGGCGACGUGAAGCAGAUCUCAAAAAACCUAUCUCAGUUCGGAUUGCAGGCUGCAACUCGCCUGCAUGAAGUUGGAAUCGCUAGUAAUCGCAGAUCAGCACGCUGCGGUGAAUACGUUCCCGGGCCUUGUACACACCGCCCGUC